AAAAAAACCCAGAUGAACGAGGCGCCCUCGCUCAACCAUAUCCACCUCACGCCGACGUGGUGUCUCCCGACGAUGACCUCGUCCUCAUGCCCUCACCGUCCUCCUCCUCAAGAUGUCACCAUCGCGUCCCCUCCAGAAUUCGGCCAUGGCCGCCACCGAAGCCAUCCUCUCAAUCGCCACCGGCCAGCCCUCACCUCCACAUCGCUAUCUCUCAACCUCCAUGGAUCUUCUCCCGGAUGGAUCUGUCCAUGUCGCUAGAUCGGGGGAGGGGGGCCUCCACCAUCGUCGUUCUUCUCCCUUCCCGACCUCCCGUCGCCGUGCUCCACGGAUCUGGCCGUGGCCACAACCGACGCAGCUUCCCCGGCCACCUCCGACGACGCUAGGGAGGUGGCCACGGUGGUCGCUGCCGGGUCCAUGGAGGAGCUCACCCCAGUCUUCUCCUCGCCCCCCUCCCACGGCUGGGUCUCCUGAUCCCUAGCAGUGCUUUGCUACGGGCAGCGACGGACAAUUAACUGCUCCCUCCGUAAACUAAUAUAUGAGCGUUUAAAUCACUAUUUUAGUAAUAUAAAUGCUUUUAUAUUAGUUUACAGAGGGGUAGCUAAUUAUCGUCUCUCAGCUCUACAAGAACAGUACAUCAUGCAUGUGUAGCAAAAAAUACUUCCGGUACUGAUUCUAACCGAUUUCCCAUAAAGUGCAUCGUUACUGAUAGCUUUGUACCAGGGACUGAGGAUAUGCAGAUAUGAUAAUUACACUACAGAUUUUCUCUUUUAGCUAGAUGCGUACCCAUAGGCCGUUAUUCAGUGCAUUUGAAAUAAACCUUGGCAUUAAUGGUUUAUCAGUUUACGUGUGCAAGAUACAAUAAGAAGACUAAUGAUCUUACUAAGGAGCAUGUUGAGAGUGCAGAUGAUACUGCUAAGUUUGUCCGCAUCGUCGUGAGGUGGAGAGCCAAAAUGCCUGAAGCUUAUGACAUGGGUGAAGGAGAUGAAAGCUCUAGGGAAGUAGGGAGUACCACAAGAUCUGACUCACCACUGUCUGAUCUAGGCACUGGCUGGCCAAGGUAAUGAAGGGUGACAUAGGGAGGGCUAAGAGACACUGGUGAUGUUCUCUUUUUAUUUUGCAUUUACUUAUUUAUUUCACAUUUACUUAGUCAGGUUAUUUUAUUAUACCUGAGGUAAUUCACCGGCAUUGUUUCUAAAUUAGAUUGUGUUUUGUUUUAUUCUGGAGUGUAUAUACUGUUGCACAAAACUAUCUGCAUAUGAAAUGGCAUGAUAUUAGUCUUUUCAUUUUUUGAAGAAUGUCACUAGCCUUUGAGCAAUCAAAAUUAUGUCCUGAAGUUAUCGACACUUGAAUAUACAUUAUGAUUUAGUGCACUUUCAGUCAAUGGUCAAUGCAUCACUAUUUUCUGGAAACAUUCCGUUCCAGGUGAAAUUUUCUUUUCAGCUUGAUAUGUUAAUAAUAUUAUUACCAUGUUUCUCGGAAAUGUCUAUUUGAGAACUUUUCGGCUAAAGUGGUGCUUGUAUAUUGGACAAGUAAGACACUCAAAAAUAGAUUCAGCAUGGUUCCUGCACUCCCAACUUUUCAUGGUUCACUUCACGUAAAAAAAACUUCUUCGUCAUGGGGCAACUGUGGUGGUUCGCGACUCUGCGAGAAGAUGAUCGAGGGUCAGCGGCGCGUCUGCUUCAUCGUCAUCUUCGAUGAGUCCAAGUGAUUUAUAUCUGGUACCGACCGACAAUGAUUGUCCAUUGGCAUGCUCGAUCGAAUGUCACUGCUUUUAUCAUGAAAUCCAACGCUUGUAGAUGCCACUCAAAAGAGAAUUCUGAAGCUGAUGAACUUGGAUAGCUUGACAAUCUACCUUAGCAACAGACAUCUCCACGUAAAUGGUGGCGGCUAGGGUGAUCAGGGAGGAUGACGCGCUACGGCAACAAUAAAAGCGCAAUGCCGCAAUCUCUCUCGUGAUUGAAUUAUCCCAGUCUGAAAUCUGGAUGGAGUUCCCCACGGAAAGUGAAUACCUUUCAAUUGGAUGCUCGAGGGAGUAGGGUACCCUAUGAGGCAAGUGGAUGGUUGUAUAUAUGUUCUAAAUCAAAUCAAGUGUUCCCUUUUUCUGUACUGCAAUUGUGGUUAUAUUAUUGGUUUAUAAAUCUGUAGAGAAACUGCAUUUGCUAUACCCUAUAUCUGAGAUAACAUAAUUUGCUUUCCAAUUGCAGCUUUAGAUUAGGCGUUUAUGCCAAGUUUCAUUUUUUUCUUAAUCCCAGUUUUGUGCUAAUUAUAUUUUGUUCUUUGAUGGGCAGUUGUAUUGCCGGCUGAUGCAACCAUGUGCUAAUCUGCCGGCAGUGAGCAGGUAGAGUUGAGGGAUGGUGGCCAGUUGCCUGGCGGGUGCACCGGUGAGUACAACAUGGAAGAGCCUGACAGUCCGUCUGCUGCCCCGUGCAAGGGCCAGUUGGUCGAGGUAUUGUGCGUAAGUUGUACUAGCAAAAGAGUCCGUGCUUUGCAACGAAGGAAAAAAUAACACACGCUUUUAACCCAACAACCAUCACUUAAGACCACAAAUAGGUCAAUCUCCUUUAUUUUAGUGAGGCAUCACAUUUGUGUAGCCUCUUAUCCUCCUCACCCUCGUCGGCGGUGGUCACAGUGUUCACACAAACCAAAACGUGUUUGAAUGCGGUUAAUCUUAAGACAUCUCUCUCUCCCUCUUGCUCUUUCUCACUCCCGCGAUGAGAAAUCUGUUGUUUUCCCCUGCGAGGUUUUUCAAAGGUAUGCAUGUGUAGUUAUCGAUGUUUUCUCCCUAUAUGGUUUUAGUGGGUGUUUAUUUGCAAUCCGGAUCGCCGCCGGUACAAAAGAAAAAUGGAUCGUGCGCUAUAGACUAUAAGUUUGCUUCCAAAAAUAUAUUUAAAAAAUAUUUAACAAGUAAAAAUAACAUCAUAUUCAGAUUGUACACAUUUUUCUAAUCAAAUUUCAUAUAUAACAUGUUAAAAUUGGAGUUACAGUUUAAAAGAUACAGAUAAUUUAGAAAAGCAUUUGUUUUAUUUAAAUAUCUUCCAAAAUAAUAUUUAAAAAUAUUUAACAGGUAAAAAUAACAAAAAAUACAUGAAGAGUUGUUAAAAAGGUUGUUAAAAAGAUACAUGAUUUUCUAAUCAUAAAAAUAUUUUUUUGUCUGGAAAAGAUCAUUUUUGUAUGGUCUUCUGUGGACGCAGGUACUUGCGCCCCUAUUUCAUCACUAUUUCUUGCUAUACAUGUCAUAGGUAUCGGUCCUUGUUUCAUCAUGAUUUAUAUCUUAUCAAACUUGUCUUUUAUUUAAUGUUUUGUCAUGCAUGCCUCCUUUUUAUUUUUUUCUGGCACAUCCUCUUUUUUCUUCUUCUUAUAUAUAGGGGAAUAACGCAACAUCUCAUCUUUAUCUGAUCUCCUCUGCAUUUUCUCUUUUAUUUCUUUUAUAGCGGACAUCCCAUCUUUAUUUGGUCUUGCUUUUAUUUCUUGUCAUGCAUGUCCUUAUUUAUUGGGUGUCUUUAGAAAAUUUAUUUUCAACUUCAUGUCCAAUCUUGAUUUUGCUGAGGUGUUCAUCCCCAAUAAGAAUCAGUACCGAUAUGAAAAAAAAGACAAAUAAUGCAUUGUUGAUUAACAUUGCAGCCUAGAUAGUAUUUUGUAAAUGUUAACAGGUAAAACAACAUCAUAUUUAGAUUCUACACAUUUUUCUAAUCAAAUUCCGUAUAUAACAUGUUAAAUUUGAAGUUAUGGUUUAAAAGAUAUGAGUAUUUAAAAAACAAUUAAUAUAUAACGCGGGUUUAAUGUCAGAAACAUUAGGGUUUUUUCCUAUAAAUUAGCAAAAUGGACUAAGAAUAUCUAUUUCUUUUAUUAGUAGGUAUAGAUUUCUCAUAUUUAUUGUAUCAAUAGAUUGACUGUCGGGUCCUUCCCUACAGAAUUUGUAGAAAAAAAAACUACAAGGGAAGUACAUAUGAAGAUACUGCAGUCUGCAGUUAACUUCUCUUUUGCCAUUUUGGUAUAACUUUGGUGGUCGUUUUAUUAUCCAUUGAGACCCAUGUUUGAUCACCAUAGCUACAGGGAAGAGCAGACUAUUGAUAUGUACAGUAUCACUACUAUUUUAGCAGACAUGAGUUACACUGUCAUCUUUUCAGGAAGAAAUGACUAGAGCAAAAAAUACCCAGUUUUAAAAAUAGUGACAGUCCAACAUCAUGAGGAUGCCAUAUUGACAUAAGUGUAUGAUUAUUUGUCAGAAAGAAAUUUAUACAUGUGUUUUUUUAUAUCUGUAGAGUGUAGACUGUAUCUCUCCUGAUCUAUUUGUAGUAACACUGACAUUGGUGUCAUGGUUUUUCUUAUAUUUUAGUGCUAAGUACUACCGUGUGGACCUUGGAGGGAGUUUUAUUAUUGAUUAA